GGGGCCCUACGGGACGCAGCAGUGGGGGAUAUUGCACAAUGGGGGGAACCCUGAUGCAGCGACGCCGCGUGGGCGAUGGAGUGCUUCGGCAUGUAAAGCCCUAUCAGCAGGGAAGAAAAUGACGGUACCUGACUAAGAAGCCCCGGCUAAAUACGUGCCAGCAGCCGCGGUAAUACGUAUGGGGCAAGCGUUAUCCGGAUUUACUGGGCGUAAAGCGAGUGCAGGCGGUGCAAUAAGUCUGAUGUGAAAGCCUUCGGGUCCACCGGAGAAAUG
rnacentral:rRNA from 1 species